rfam:Salmo salar isolate Sally breed double haploid chromosome ssa15, whole genome shotgun sequence.
AAUGCACCAAUUUGUAAGUCGCUCUGGAUAAGAGCGCCUGCUAAAUUACGUAAA